GCCUAGGUUUAGGUCUAGAUUUGGGUCUAUUAUUGAGCCAGAUUUAUACAAUUUGUGUUAAUCCAGACUCAAUUAGAUUGAGUCCAAUCAAUACAUUAGGUUCACCCAGAAUUUGAGUUCCUCUCUCUCCCCCUUUCUCUCUCUCUCUCUUCCCUCCUUGUCUCUUAUGUUUCUUCUUUCUUUCUCUCUUAACCGACCACAAGACCCCUUGGGGUUUAAUGAGGGUCGACCAACAAU
rnacentral:lncRNA from 1 species